AGUGGUUCCGCGCCGACAAUGUAGCGGGGCUCAAGCACACCACCGAAGACGCGGCAGUAGCUUUGCUACUGGGUAGGAGAGCGUCCCAUGCGGGGCGAAGCGGCGGCGCAAGCCCGCCGUGGACUGCAUGGGAGUGAGAAUGCAGACAUGAGUAGCGAAAGACGGGUGAAGAUCCCGUCCGCUGGACGACCAAGGGUUCCAGGGCCACGUUCAUCGUCCCUGGGUGAGUCGGGUCCUAAGGCGAGGCCGACAGGCGUAGUCGAAUGGAUGAACGGGUCGAUAUUCCCGUACCGGCAUGCAACCGACAAAACCGAAUCCGCGAGUACUAACCUCCGGGUCCGGGCUUACGUCUCCUUCGGGAGCCGGAUGCCCUGGCCUGUUGGGACCGUAACGGUAGUAGGUCAGCGCGGGAGUGACGCAGAAGGGUAGCCGGCCGCGGAGGUGGUCUUCCGUGGUCAAGCACGCAGCCCGUCCCACAGGCAAAUCCGUGGGGCGCGUGGGCGAGGUGCGAUGAUGGGCGCCGCAGGGCGCGAUAUCCGGUGAUCCCGGCUGCCGAGAAAAGCUUCGGCGUGAGGCGGCGUGCCGCCCGUACCCCAAACCGACACUGGUGGUCAGGUAGAGAAUACCAAAGCGAUCGAGCGAAUCCUGGUCAAGGAACUCGGCAAAUCACUCCCGUUCCUUCGGUUUAAGGGAGACCCCCGAUGGUGAAGCGGCUUGCCCGUGGAGCUUUUGGGGGUGGCACAGACCAGGGGGUAGCGACUGUUUACCAAAAACACAGGAGCGUGCGAAGGCGCAAGCCGCUGUAUACGCUCUGACGCCUGCCCGGUGCCGGAAGGUUAAGAGGAUCCGUCAGGCUUCGGCCGAAGCGGUGAAUUCAAGCCCCGGUAAACGGCGGUGGUAACUAUAACCAUCCUAAGGUAGCGAAAUUCCUUGUCGGGUAAGUUCCGACCUGCACGAAUGGCGUAACGACUUCCCCACUGUCUCGACCAGGAGCUCGGCGAAAUUGCAGUACGAGUAAAGAUGCUCGUUAAGCGCAGAAGGACGAAAAGACCCCGGGACCUUUACUAUACCUUGGUAUUGGCAUUCGGUGUGGAUUGUGUAGCAUAGGCGGAAGGCUUCGAAGCCACGGCGCCAGCCGCGGUGGAGCCGCAAGGUGAAAUACCGCUCUGUUCGCAUUGGAUGUCUAACCUCGACCAGUCAUCCUGGUCAGGGACAGUGCCUGGCGGGUAGUUUAACUGGGGCGGUUGCCUCCCAAAGAGUAACGGAGGCGCUCAAAGGUUCCCUCAGCCCGGUUGGCAAUCGGGUGGCGAGUGUAAGUGCACAAGGGAGCUUGACUGCGAGACUGACGGGUCGAGCAGGGACGAAAGUCGGAACUAGUGAUCCGGUGCCGGUGUACGGACGCGGCAUCGCUCAACGGAUAAAAGGUACCCCGGGGAUAACAGGCUGAUCAUUCCCAAGAGUCCAUAUCGACGGGAUGGUUUGGCACCUCGAUGUCGGCUCGUCGCAUCCUGGGGCUGGAGCAGGUCCCAAGGGUUCGGCUGUUCGCCGAUUAAAGCGGCACGCGAGCUGGGUUCAGAACGUCGUGAGACAGUUUGGUCUCUAUCCUCUGCGCUCGUCGGAAUGUUGAGGAGGCCUGCCCAUAGUACGAGAGGACCUGGGUGGACGAACCUCU
rnacentral:rRNA from 1 species